rnacentral:lncRNA from 1 species
AAGUUUAAGCCAAAAAUUCGUCCGAAAACUCAAGUUAUGGCUCCAACCAUUAUUAUAAAUAAAACCACUCACUUACUACCCUUGAUUUGGAAGUGCCGCCUUUAACUCCUUAUAACUCCUUCAUAUGAACUCCAAAAGCAAUAAUUCUUCCAUGAAAGAUGUAGGUCUUGAAAUUUCCGUUUCAGCCGCACCUUUCGAUCUUCAAAAUCUGCUGUAAAACUUCUCGUAUCCUCAAAAGAGUAACAGUAUGUCUUAAAUUAACACCUUAACUUCAAACGGCUAUAACUUCUUCACCCUAACUCCAAAUCCUCUAAUUUUUGUACACAAAUUGUACCUUAAACCAUAAACUUUACAAUUCUAGCUUGUAAUCUCCGAAUGUCUUCUUUGAAGUCGCCGAAACCCUUCUUAAGGUCGCGGGCAGCCUCCUCAAAG